GCCAACUAGAAAUACUAACUCUGAAUACUGUCUGAGCUGGAAUGAAAGUUGAAAAUCCAUCCCACUCCAUAGCCAACUUCAUGUGAUCUUCACCGGUGAUUUCUUGUGUGCACAGAGGAGGGUGACGUAGGGAACGCCAAUGAAUGCCCAUCUCUCACUUGGCCAGAACUUUAUGACGGGGCCCUGCUCAGGGAUCUCAGAGGCAGCAUCGAAGUAAGCGAAACAGACACAGCCUAGGUAAGCCGCAAGGCAAAUCAAAAUGUGCCUGAGAAUAGAGCAAACCCCCCCCCCCCAAAAAAAAGAAAAAUUCAGUAACAUGACUUCAGUAAAGUUAUCAAAUACAUCAGCAUGGUUUAAAAUCAGUCUGUUACUCUCCUU
rnacentral:lncRNA from 1 species